AGCGAACGCUGGCGGCAGGCCUAACACAUGCAAGUCGAACGAACUCUUCGGAGUUAGUGGCGGACGGGUGAGUAACACGUGGGAACGUGCCUUUUGGUUCGGAAUAACUCAGGGAAACUUGUGCUAAUACCGAAUGUGCCCUUCGGGGGAAAGAUUUAUCGCCAUUAGAGCGGCCCGCGUCUGAUUAGCUAGUUGGUGAGGUAACGGCUCACCAAGGCGACGAUCAGUAGCUGGUCUGAGAGGAUGACCAGCCACACUGGGACUGAGACACGGCCCAGACUCCUACGGGAGGCAGCAGUGGGGAAUCUUGCGCAAUGGGCGAAAGCCUGACGCAGCCAUGCCGCGUGAAUGAUGAAGGUCUUAGGAUUGUAAAAUUCUUUCACCGGGGACGAUAAUAACGGUACCCGGAGAAGAAGCCCCGGCUAACUUCGUG
rnacentral:rRNA from 1 species